UACGUAGGGUGCAAGCGUUGUCCGGAAUUAUUGGGCGUAAAGAGCUCGUAGGCGGUCUGUCGCGUCUGCUGUGAAAACUCAGGGCUUAACCCUGAGCUUGCAGUGGGUACGGGCAGACUAGAGUGCGGUAGGGGAGACUGGAAUUCCUGGUGUAGCGGUGAAAUGCGCAGAUAUCAGGAGGAACACCGGUGGCGGAAGGCGGGUCUCUGGGCCGUAACUGACGCUGGAGGAGCGGAAAUGCAUGGGGAGCGAACAGG
rnacentral:rRNA from 1 species